CUGUGGUGAAAGAUAUUAUUGCCACAUAACACAUUUCAAGAUUGUGGAGAGACGCAGCCGACGGGCUGACAGCGGGCGGACAGAGGCGUUCUGAACCAGAAUGGAGGCCAGGAGGCGGGACAUGCGGCGGCGAGGAGAGACUUUAAGAGAGGCGAAGGGGGCACGAUCGGCAGAGAGAGGAAGAAACCGGGGCAACCCGACCACGAGCACGACAACAGAGCACGCCAAGAUGAGUCCCCGCCACAGACGCAGCAGGCGAGCAUCGAAAGGUGCAGCGUGACCAGGAAGCAGGACCGGCGCACUAGAAAUGGGCGCGCCCGACUGGCCCGAAGAAAGGUUGUGCGAAACAAUAAAAGUAAAUCAAACCUGCUACGA